rnacentral:sRNA from 1 species
AUGCACCCAUCGGAGAUGCAAAGAAAAGCACCUCCGCGGAGACGGAGACACCGCAAUCGAGCACCGUUGACUCACAAGAUGAACAAAAUGGUGACAUCAGAACAGAUGAAGUUGCCAUCCACCAAGAAGGCAGAGCCGCCGACUUGGGCACAACUAAAGAAGCUGACGCAGUUAGCUACAAAAUAUCUAGAGAACACAAAGGUGACACAAACCCCAGAGAGUAUGCUGCUUGCAGCCUUGAUGAUUGUAUCAAUGGUGUCUGCAGGUGUACCCAACAGCUCCGAAGAGACAGCGACCAUCGAGAACGGGCCAUGAUGACAAUGGUGGUUUUGUCGAAAAGGGGGAAAUGUGGGGAAAAGCAAGAGAGAUCAGAUUGUUACUGUGUCUGUGUAGAAAGAAGUAGACAUAGGAGACUCCAUUUUGUUAUGUACUAAGAAAAAUUCUUCUGC